ACCGUUUAUUUCUAAAUAUUCUCUAAUAAAAAUUUAAAUCUGUUCUUAUCAGUUUAAUAUCUGAUAUGUUCUCGAUGUGAGAACUUUAUAUUAAACAGAUUUUUGGAACAGGGAGUUGGACUAGAAGCUUGCUUCUUCCACUCCAUGCAUCAACCUGGUAUUGCAGUACUUCUAGGUAUGGUGCGCCUCCC